UACGGGGGGGGCAAGCGUUGUUCGGAAUUACUGGGCGUAAAGGGCUCGUAGGUGGCCAACUAAGUCGGACGUGAAAUCCCUCAGCUUAACUGGGGAACUGCGUCCGAUACUGGAUGGCUUGAGUUUGGGAGAGGGAUGCGGAAUUCCAGGUGUAGCGGUGAAAUGCGUAGAUAUCUGGAGGAACACCGGUGGCGAAGGCGGCGUCCUGGACCAAUACUGACACUGAAACGCGAAAGCCAGGGGAGCAAACGGG
rnacentral:rRNA from 1 species